UUGAUGGUCAUGGAGAAUGAAGUCCUGUUUAUUGGCAGACCAGGGAUACAGCAUGGGCAGUAGCAGUGCAAGAUUCCUCCAAGCUAGCCUGCCAUUGUAGCUCAAUGCUGACCUGGAAUUCCCCCAUUAGAAUCAGAGGAGAGUUCAGUCUACAUGAUGCAUGUGGUCCUUCGCCUCU
rnacentral:sRNA from 1 species